UACGUAGGGUGCGAGCGUUAAUCGGAAUUACUGGGCGUAAAGCGUGCGCAGGCGGUGCGCCAAGCUCGAUGUGAAAGCCCCCGGGCUUAACCUGGGAAUGGCCGUUGAAACUGGCGAACUGGAGUGUGGCAGAGGGGUGGAAUUCCGCGUGUAGCAGUGAAAAUGCGUAGAGAUGCGGAGGAACACCGAUGGCGAAGGCAGCCCUGGGCUAACACUGACGCUCAGGCACGAAAGCGUGGGAGCAAAACAGG
rnacentral:rRNA from 1 species